rnacentral:lncRNA from 1 species
CGAAUAUAUACAAACGUUGGUCUCGUACUUUCCGGAACUUUCGAGAAAUGGCUCGAAGCCAGCCAACCAACCUUCCAUCAACUUCCACAGGUGACUAAGGGGCCAGGAACAUAACCUGUGGGCUAAUGGCACUGGUAUCAGUCAUAUUAUUCUAGGGACUCUAGUAUCAGUGCUCUGUCUACUCCAAUGAACUCCAAUCUACUCCACCUACUCUCAACAGUCAAGUCAGCCCAGUACGCUAUAAGCACCCCCAUAGCUGGGUGUUGAGAAGGCAUAAAGUCUUUCACACAGCACUACAAGGACCAACGUUUUCCAAUUAUGGUUCCAAUAUAAUAUACUACAAGAAUUAUCCAAUCUGUUAGAUAGUUAUCUAUCUGUGGUUAUAUGUAUGUAUAUCUAACAGGUCGUACUGGCUAUAGCCUAAGGUUUUAGCCAACCAUUCAUGAAAAGUGUUUUAUACAACUUUGUUAAUCAUAAAAUGUCACAAAUCACAAAGUCGUUAAUUGAUCAGCAAAAAAAUGAACAAUUUAAUUCCCCUCAAAAUCGAGUUCAUUGCUCAUACUCUCAACGUACACGAUUGUAUGACAA